rnacentral:rRNA from 1 species
AUUACCGCGGCUGCUGGCACGAAGUUAGCCGGGGCUUCUUCUGUAGGUACCGUCAUUAUCUUCCCUACUGAAAGAGCUUUACAACCCUAAGGCCUUCAUCACUCACGCGGCAUGGCUGGAUCAGGCUUUCGCCCAUUGUCCAAUAUUCCCCACUGCUGCCUCCUGUAGG